rnacentral:rRNA from 1 species
AGCGAACGCUGGCGGCAGGCCUAACACAUGCAAGUCGAACGGACCCUUCGGGGGUAGUGGCGGACGGGUGAGUAACACGUGGGAACGUGCCUUUAGGUGCGGAAUGGCUCCUGGAAACGGGUGGCAAUGGCGAAUGUGGCCUUCGGGGGAAAGAUUUAUCGCCUUUAGAGCGGCCCGCGUCUGAUUAGCUAGUUGGUGAGGUAAUGGCAAACGAAGGCGACGAUCAGUAGCUGGUCUGAGAGGAUGACCAGCCACAUUGGGACUGAGACACGGCCCAAACUCCUACGGGAGGCAGCAGUGGGGAAUCUUGCGCAAUGGGCGAAAGCCUGACGCAGCCAUGCCGCGUGGAUGAUGAAGGUCUUAGGAUUGUAAAAUCCUUUCACCGGUGAAGAUAAUGACUGUAGCCGGAGAAGAAGCCCCGGCUAACUUCGUGCCAGCCGCCGCCGUAAGAC